rnacentral:rRNA from 1 species
UUGGAGGGCAAGUCUGGUGCCAGCAGCCGCGGUAAUUCCAGCUCCAAUAGCGUAUAUUAAAGUUGUUGCAGUUAAAAAGCUCGUAGUUGAAUUUCGAGACCGGUCUACUGGUCGUGCUUUUGUACGUACUGGUUUUAUUGGUUUCUCCUUUCUGACAAACUAUAAUGCCAUUAAUUUGGUGUUAUGGGGAAUCAGGACUGUUACUUUGAAAAAAUUAGAGUGUUUAAAGCAGGCUAACGCUUGAAUACAUUAGCAUGGAAUAACGGAAUAGGACGUUUGAUUCUAUUUUGUUGGUUUCUAGGAUCGACGUAAUGAUUAAUAGGGAUAGUCGGGGGCAUUAGUAUUCAAUUGUCAGAGGUGAAAUUCUUGGAUUUAUUGAAGACUAACUACUGCGAAAGCAUUUGCCAAGGAUGUUUUCAUUAAUCAAGAACGAAAGUUAGGGGAUCGAAGACGAUCAGAUACCGUCGUAGUCUUAACCAUAAACUAUGCCGACUAGGGAUCGGAUGAUGUUAAUUUUUUAAUGACUCAUUCGGCGCCUUACGGGAAAC